rnacentral:snRNA from 1 species
AUACUCUGGUUUCUCUUCAGAUCCAAUAAAUCUUUCGCCUUUUACUCAAGAUUUCCGUGGGGAGAAACAAAUCCGAGUUGUUACCCAAUUUUUUGAGACCUUGUUCUUACAAGGUC